GUCCCUGUGAUGAUGAAUUACUUUACAUCUGGAAUUACCGCCUGAAUGUAAGUGAUGACACUAACUCUGAGGGAUUUU
rnacentral:snoRNA from 1 species